UGGCUCAGAACGAACGCUGGCGGCAUGCCUAAUACAUGCAAGUCGAACGAGAUCUUCGGAUCUAGUGGCGCACGGGUGCGUAACGCGUGGGAAUCUGCCCUUGGGUUCGGAAUAACUUCUGGAAACGGAAGCUAAUACCGGAUGAUGACGUAAGUCCAAAGAUUUAUCGCCCAAGGAUGAGCCCGCGUAGGAUUAGCUAGUUGGUGAGGUAAAGGCUCACCAAGGCGACGAUCCUUAGCUGGUCUGAGAGGAUGAUCAGCCACACUGGGACUGAGACACGGCCCAGACUCCUACGGGAGGCAGCAGUAGGGAAUAUUGGACAAUGGGCGAAAGCCUGAUCCAGCAAUGCCGCGUGAGUGAUGAAGGCCUUAGGGUUGUAAAGCUCUUUUACCCGGGAUGAUAAUGACAGUACCGGGAGAAUAAGCUCCGGCUAACUCCGUGCCAGCAGCCGCGGUAAUACGGAGGGAGCUAGCGUUGUUCGGAAUUACUGGGCGUAAAGCGCACGUAGGCGGCUAUUCAAGUCAGAGGUGAAAGCCCGGGGCUCAACCCCGGAACUGCCUUUGAAACUAGAUAGCUUGAAUCCAGGAGAGGUGAGUGGAAUUCCGAGUGUAGAGGUGAAAUUCGUAGAUAUUCGGAAGA
rnacentral:rRNA from 1 species